rnacentral:rRNA from 1 species
GAUGAACGCUGGCGGUAUGCCUUACACAUGCAAGUCGUACGAGAGUUUUUAACUCUAGUGGCGGACGGGUGAGUAACACGUAAGAAUUUGCCUUUAGGAGGGGGACAACAACUGGAAACGGUUGCUAAUACCUCAUAUGCUUUCGAGUGAAAUGGAUUUCCGCCUAAAGAGAAGCUUGCGGCUGAUUAGCUUGUUGGUGAGGUAAUGGCUCACCAAGGCGACGAUCAGUAUCUGGUUUGAGAGGACGAUCAGACACACUGGAACUGAGACACGGUCCAGACUCCUACGGGAGGCAGCAGUGGGGAAUUUUCCGCAAUGGGCGAAUGCCUGACGGAGCAAUACCGCGUGAGGGAUGACGGCCUAUGGGUUGUAAACCUCUUUUUUC